rnacentral:rRNA from 1 species
ACGGGAGGCAGCAGUGGGGAAUAUUGGACAANGGGGGGAACCCUNAUCCAGCAAUGCCGCGUGAUGUGAAGAAGGCCUGAGGGUUGUAAAGCACUUUCAGCUGGGGAGGAGGAUGCUUAGSUUAAGAGCUAGAGUWUUGGACGUUACCCACACGAAGAAGCACCGGCUAACUCCGUGCCAGCAGCCGCGGUAAUACGGAGGGUGCGAGCGUUAUAUCGGAAUUACUGGGCGUAAAGAGUGCGUAGGUGGUUAAUUAAGUUNUCUGUGAAAUUCCUGGGCUUAACCUGGGCAGGUCAGAUAAUACUGAUUGACUCGAGUAUGGGAGAGGGUAGUGGAAUUUCCGGUGUAGCGGUGAAAUGCGUAGAGAUCGGAAGGAACACCAGUGGCGAAGGCGGCUACCUGGCCUAAUACUGACACUGAGGCACGAAAGCGUGGGGAGCAAACAGGAUUAGAUACCCYGGUAGUCCACGCUGUAAACGAUGUCAACUAGACUGUUGGUUAUAUAAAAAUAAUYAGUGGCGCAGCAAACGCGAUAAGUUGACCGCCUGGAGAGUACGGUCGCNNAGAUUAAAACUC